rnacentral:rRNA from 1 species
AUUGAACGCUGGCGGAAUGCUUUUACACAUGCAAGUCGAACGGCAGCACGGGGGCAACCUGGUGGCGAGUGGCGAACGGGUGAGUAAUACAUCGGAACGUGCCCAAUCGUGGGGGGAUAACGUAGCGAAAGUUACGCUAAUACCGCAUACGAUCUACGGAUGAAAGCGGGGGAUCGCAAGACCUCGCGCGAGUGGAGCGGCCGAUGUCAGAUUAGGUAGUUGGUGGGAUAAAAGCUUACCAAGCCGACGAUCUGUAGCUGGUCUGAGAGGACGACCAGCCACACUGGGACUGAGACACGGCCCAGACUCCUACGGGAGGCAGCAGUGGGGAAUUUUGGACAAUGGGCGCAAGCCUGAUCCAGCCAUUCCGCGUGCAGGAUGAAGGCCUUCGGGUUGUAAACUGCUUUUGUACGGAACGAAACGGUUCUCUCUAAUACAGGGGCUAAUGACGGUACCGUAAGAAUAAGACACCGGCUAACUACGUGCCAGCAGCCGCGGUAAUACGUA